rnacentral:misc_RNA from 1 species
GUUUCUAUUUUACUAGAUUUAAGACAAAAAAAAUUAUAUAGUUUAAAUAAGCUGGGCACUAAUUAAUAAAAAUUAAAUACCCAAAAUACGAUUUGGUGCACAAGGGGUUGAAUUGGCUUCAAACGGGAUCAAUAAAUGAUCGACCGUAAGAAUCCAACAAUCAGUAAUGAUCCAACCGCAGGUUCACCUACGGUUA